GAUGAACGCUGGCGGCGUGCUUAACACAUGCAAGUCGAACGGUGAAGGCGGAGCUUGCUCUGCUGGAUCAGUGGCGAACGGGUGAGUAACACGUGAGCAAUCUGCCCCUGACUCUGGGAUAAGCGCUGGAAACGGCGUCUAAUACUGGAUACGAGCUGCGAAGGCAUCUUCAGCAGCUGGAAAGAAUUUCGGUCAGGGAUGAGCUCGCGGCCUAUCAGCUUGUUGGUGAGGUAAUGGCUCACCAAGGCGUCGACGGGUAGCCGGCCUGAGAGGGUGACCGGCCACACUGGGACUGAGACACGGCCCAGACUCCUACGGGAGGCAGCAGUGGGGAAUAUGGCAGAAUGGGCGAAAGCCUGAUGCAGCAACGCCGCGUGAGGGACGACGGCCUUCGGGUUGUAAACCUCUUUUUGCAGGGAAGAAGAGAAAGUGACGGUACCUGCAGAGAAAGCGCCGGCUAACUACGUG
rnacentral:rRNA from 1 species